UUACGGUGCCCAACUGCGCGCU
rnacentral:snRNA from 1 species